rnacentral:lncRNA from 1 species
GUCUCUCUGAGGAAGCCCGGCGCAGCCUAACCCUCACAGGGCCGCGGAGAGGGCGCGCCAGGCGGGGAUUUGCGCCAGGCCCGCGGCGCAUGCUCAGUGGUUGGGGACUGGGCGGGUACCCCGGGCGGGGAGCCUGACUGAACGGCGGCUCUGCUGAUUGGUCGGGCUGCUCACGCCACGCCCGUUGCCUUCCGAUGGACAGUUCCUUACCUGCCGGGUCGGCCUCCGCAGAGAGUGGUGGUCUUGAAAACCCAGUUUUGGGAGAAUACCUGCCGCGCCUCCCGCCCAAAUACCCAGAGGUUUCAUAGCCGCCAUCGCUGCGGUGGAGGAGGCCGCCUGUUGCGUCCCACCCCACCAGAAAGCCUAACACUGGCCUGAAGCGUAAUCUUAAAGUGGUAGGGGAAAAUACCGAUCUAGCGCAGAGAGCAAAACACCUCCGUUCUGGGUUUAAUGGGCAGGUCUGGAGGUGAGGUAUGCCGUCCGCACUCAAUAAUUACUUGCAGGAUCGGAUUGUUUCUCCAGUGGGUGGGGACUGCAGGAUGUAGCAUUGAGUGAGCCUGGCAGAUUGAAAGAUAAAACAAGGGUGAUGAUAAAAACAAUUACACACUAACCCAUUUCCUCCUCCGUGAAAUGAGGGAAUGGCCCAGACAUUUUCCAGACCUCUUCUGUCCUAAGAGUGGAGCUGGGUGACAGAGCAGGUGCAAGCCGGCCUUUCCCUGCCUCCCCGGGGAACGCACUCUGUUCGGUGAGAGCAACUCAGCUCGCAUUGACUCCUUUCAGCUGCAGGAGUGUGGCCGUUCAGUUCUCAUUUGAACUGUUGACAACAGUUGUCUUCUGAGAAUCAUGAGUUAGAGCCUCCCUUUAGGCUUCUGACUCCCUCAAAAGUACCAGACAACACAAACUUUUCCCCUCUUGUUACCUUGGCUCUCUAAGCUGUAUCUACUUCUAUACAAGGCGAACAAUUUUGUCUUUUUAAAUUAAAAACAACAACAAAAG